AUGCACGCUGACAGAAUGCUUCACACAUGCAAGUCGCUGGGGAAGUGGUGCUUGCACCAUGGCAACCAUGGCGGACGGGUGAGUAACGCGUAAGGGACUUACCUGCAGGACUGGGAUAACAGGGGGAAACUCCUGACAAGACCGGAUAAUGUCAUGGAGCUGCAUGGCUUUAUGAUGAAAGGAGACGCCUGCGGAGAGCCUUGCGUCCUAUUAGCUAGUUGGUGAGGUAAUGGCUCACCAAGGCGAAGAUAGGUAGCCGGCCUGAGAGGGUGGACGGCCACAAGGGGACUGAGAUACGGCCCUUACUCCUACGGGAGGCAGCAGUGGGGAAUAUUGGACAAUGGGGGCAACCCUGAUCCAGCAAUUCUGUGUGCACGAAGAAGGUUUUCGGAUUGUAAAGUGCUUUCAGCAGGGAAGAAGUAAGUGACGGUACCUGCAGAAGAAGCGACGGCUAAAUACGUG
rnacentral:rRNA from 1 species